rnacentral:rRNA from 1 species
UACAGAGGUCCCAAGCGUUGUUCGGAUUCACUGGGCGUAAAGGGUGUGUAGGUGGCGCCGUAAGUCGGGUGUGAAAUUUCGGAGCUUAACUCCGAAACUGCAUUCGAUACUGCGGUGCUUGAGGACUGGAGAGGAGACUGGAAUUCAUGGUGUAGCAGUGAAAUGCGUAGAGAUCAUGAGGAAGACCAGUGGCGAAGGCGGCCCCCUGGUUGGAUACUGACGCUGAGACGCGAAAGCGUGGGGAGCAAACAGG